UACGGAGGGUGCAAGCGUUGUUCGGAUUUAUUGGGCGUAAAGGGCGUGUAGGCGGUUCGUUAAGUCUGAUGUGAAAGCCCCGGGCUCAACCCGGGAAGUGCAUUGGAAACUGGCGAACUUGAGUACGGGAGAGGGCAGUGGAAUUCCUAGUGUAGGAGUGAAAUCCGUAGAUAUUAGGAGGAACACCGGUGGCGAAGGCGGCUGCCUGGACCGAUACUGACGCUGAGACGCGAAAGCGUGGGGAGCAAACAGGAUUAGAUACCCUGGUAGUCCACGCCGUAAACGAUGAGCACUAGGUGUUGCGGGUAUUGACCCCUGCAGUGCCGCAGCUAACGCAUUAAGUGCUCCGCCUGGGAAGUACGGUCGCAAGACUAAA
rnacentral:rRNA from 1 species